UACAGUGUGCUGAUUGCCAGAUUAGAGUGCUGAUUGGUCCAUUUUACAAACGUCUAGCUAGCCACAGAGAGCUGAUUGCCCUUGUCUCUCCAAUAGUAGAAGCAUGUAUCAAAAGGUAGCCCUCUUAGUCUGUGUCCCUGAGUUAUUACAAUGAGUAGAGCUUGUUUGUUGACCUCCAAUGGAUAUGUAUCACGAGAAAGAUAUAAAUUUUGUUAUUUUAAGCCAUUAAGGUUUUGGGAUUUUUCCAUUAGCACAGCAUAAUCUAAUCUCUCUUGAGAGAUAGUGUUAGCUUUCUACCCAAGCCAAUUCAUUUUUUUGACCUCAAGUAACCACCAUUAAGUUAAGAGAAAGGGGCGGGGAAAGUACGAGGUCUAGGAAGAAAAUAAAUAAGGCAAAGAAAUAAAGCACUUUGAGAACUGUGUCUAGGAAAUAACAGAUAGCUUAUUAAGUCUUGGGGGAACUGUAUUACCAAAGAAAGUAUACACUGCCCACCCCUCCCCCAACAAUUAUACACUGUGAAUGGUACUCUCAUAAAAUUGUUUAAUUUCGUAUUGCUAUGCCUAAAUUACCCACUACAGUGAAUGUCUAACCAGGGCCUCUCAGAAACUGAGAGAGGGUGAGGCCACUUAUAUUUUCUCAAAUGAAGAAAUUCCCAAAUAACAUUAUAAAAACUGUGGUUACUUUCAAAGUUUAUCUUGCUAAAUGAAUGUAUUUAAUCCCUUAAUAGAAUUCAUUAUAAUUAUAUAGAUGCCAAGUCUUAUUACAAUGCUAUAGUUUUCCAUCUUCUUCCAUAGCUUGAUACUAAAGAAUGUCAUGUUCAACUGAUUCUUCUCAAUUCCUUGGUUUCUGGUCUUGAUUGUUGAAGGGUGGGGAAGCCAGGGAAUAGUGGUCCUAACACACUGAAUGCCUUAAUGGCAGAAUUCACUGCCAUAAAUUCUACAGCAGACAUUUGGGGUUUCAGAUUUUUUUUGCCUUUCAGUUUUUGGUCACCCGAUGUCUGAUACCAAAUGUGAUAUUUAGCAAUCUUGUAGUCGUUCAAAAGAACAGAAAACCCAAAUAGAACUCGUUUUUCAAAUAUCCAUUAUCACCUUUCUCAACCAGCCUAGUAUUUGCUUGAUGAGCUCAUGAUCAAAAUGAUGGCAGGGAAUCACUUUGGUUACUAUAUGGAAGAUUUAUUUAAGGCAAGAAUGAAUUCAGAGGACCAGUUAAGCUCCCUUCUGGUUCACUGCUAUUGCAACAGUCCAGAUAUAAGACAAUGUUGCAGUAGUGUACAUGGAAAAAAGUAGUCGGAUGGUGGAUACACUUUUGAGGCUAUUUUGCUGAUGGACUGUAUAUGGGAGGAAUCAAGUAUUGUUACCGAAACACCAGGGGUUUGGUCUAGGUCCUGCUGCUCGGUGCACAGAAAGCCAAUCACUGAGAUGACAAGUAUUGCCAAGGAAGAAGGCUUUAAUCAGGUGCUGCAGCCAAGGAGAUGGGAGUGCAGUCUCAAAUCCAUCUCCUUGACUGACCAAAACCAAGGGUUUAUAUAGCAGGAAAGAAAUGUAACAAUAUGUAAGAAAACAGGAACAUGGGAGGGGCAAGGAAGCAAUCAUGGUGACUGAGGGGCCCAGCAUCUAGUGCAGUGAUCUGGUUUCAGUUCUUUUGAUACUUUUUAUGGCUUCAGUUCUUUGAUACUUUUUGUGAGAGGCCUGAAGGUCCUUUCCUGAGGAAGGAACUCGGAUAAAACAAGUAAGUUUCCAGCUUUAACUGCAAAAGGGUCAACUUCUAUAAUCCCAGCACUUUGGGAGGCUGAGGCAGGCAGGUCACCUGAAGUUGGGAGUUCAAGACCAGCCUGGCCAACAUGAUGAAACCCUGUAUCUACUAAAAAUACAAAACUUAGCUGGGCAUGGUGGCGUGCCUGUAAUUCCAGCUACUUGGGAGGCUGCGGCAGGAGAAUCACUUGAACUCAGGAGGUGGAGGUCGCAGUGAGCCGAGAUCGUGCCACUGCACUCCAGUGAGGGCAAUAAGAGCCAAACUCUGUCUCAAAAACAAAAACAAAAACAAAAACAAAAACAACUGUCUAUGGGACUCUUUGGCUGGUUUCAGUAGGACUCAUAAGGUUCUGAUUUGAGCAAUGGUGUAGUUGCUUAUGCCAUUGAUUCAGACAGGGAAAACUGGGGAGGAGAUUUACGGGGAAAAUGAGGACUUCUGCUUUGGCUAGGUCAAAUUUGAGAUGCCUGAUAGGCUACCAACUGCAGUUGUCAAGUAAGCAGUUGGAUAUAAAUUUGGGGUUCCCAGACAGGUCAGAGUGGAAGACACAGAUAUUUGGGCAGCUUGGACCACUCUGAGUCCUUAUUAUGAUACCUGACCUGGUAUGGAGUAGAAGAGAGGAACCAGCCAAUCUAAUUUUUGGCACAUGGAUAAAAGUCGAUACCUUUCAGUCCAUAUUGGAAUGGAGAUAACGAUUUAUACUCCCUAGAAAAGACACUUAAACUGGAUAUGGAAUUACUUCCGUUAUCACAGUCUAUCACUGUGGCCUCCUGUGUUAUUACCAGAUACCUUAUACACAGCUAGGGUGUCCCAUACAACACUGCUUCUUGCUUGGCACACAGUCGCAUAGUAUUCAAUCCUGUGUUAAAUGGCUUAGAUAAUAAGUCACCUGUAGGGAUUAUAGCAAGCAGGGACCAUCAUUUUCACAUAGAAUUUCCCAGGACUGGAAGGGACUUUUAAAGACCCAGAAAUCUUUCUGGGCAGUGCCUCCAAAGUGUGGCCCCUGAGGUGUUCCUGCUGCUCUGGUGACCGGGGGUAGUUGACCCUAUUUCAAUGUCAAUCAGAACAAUAUACAUUCCUUUAUAAACUUGUUUUUUUUUUGAGAGAGAGUCUCACUCUGUCACCUAGGAUGGAGUGCAGUGGUGCAAUCUCAGCUCACUGCAACCUCCGCCUCCCUCCUGUGUUCAAGCGAUUCUCCUGCCUCAGCCUCCUACCGAGUAGUUGGAAUUACAGGUGUGUGUCACCAUGCCCAGCUAAUUUUUGUAUUAUUUAGUAGAGACAGGUUUUUGCCAUGUUGGUCAGGCUGGUCUCGAACUCCUGACCUCAAGAGCCUCCUGGGCCUCUAAAAGUGCUGGAAUUACAGGUUUGAGCCACCUCGCCCUGCCUAUAGUGAACAUUUACAUAAUAUUUU
rnacentral:lncRNA from 10 species